GGGUUGUGAGGUUAAGCGACUAAGCGUACACGGUGGAUGCCCUGGCAGUCAGAGGCGAUGAAGGACGUGCUAAUCUGCGAUAAGCGUCGGUAAGGUGAUAUGAACCGUUAUAACCGGCGAUUUCCGAAUGGGGAAACCCAGUGUGAUUCGUCACACUAUCAUUAACUGAAUCCAUAGGUUAAUGAGGCGAACCGGGGGAACUGAAACAUCUAAGUACCCCGAGGAAAAGAAAUCAACCGAGAUUCCCCCAGUAGCGGCGAGCGAACGGGGAGCAGCCCAGAGCCUGAAUCAGUGUGUGUGUUAGUGGAAGCGUCUGGAAAGGCGCGCGAUACAGGGUGACAGCCCCGUACACAAAAAUGCACAUGCUGUGAGCUCGAUGAGUAGGGCGGGACACGUGGUAUCCUGUCUGAAUAUGGGGGGACCAUCCUCCAAGGCUAAAUACUCCUGACUGACCGAUAGUGAACCAGUACCGUGAGGGAAAGGCGAAAAGAACCCCGGCGAGGGGAGUGAAAAAGAACCUGAAACCGUGUACGUACAAGCAGUGGGAGCACGCUUAGGCGUGUGACUGCGUACCUUUUGUAUAAUGGGUCAGCGACUUAUAUUCUGUAGCAAGGUUAACCGAAUAGGGGAGCCGAAGGGAAACCGAGUCUUAACUGGGCGUUAAGUUGCAGGGUAUAGACCCGAAACCCGGUGAUCUAGCCAUGGGCAGGUUGAAGGUUGGGUAACACUAACUGGAGGACCGAACCGACUAAUGUUGAAAAAUUAGCGGAUGACUUGUGGCUGGGGGUGAAAGGCCAAUCAAACCGGGAGAUAGCUGGUUCUCCCCGAAAGCUAUUUAGGUAGCGCCUCGUGAAUUCAUCUCCGGGGGUAGAGCACUGUUUCGGCAAGGGGGUCAUCCCGACUUACCAACCCGAUGCAAACUGCGAAUACCGGAGAAUGUUAUCACGGGAGACACACGGCGGGUGCUAACGUCCGUCGUGAAGAGGGAAACAACCCAGACCGCCAGCUAAGGUCCCAAAGUCAUGGUUAAGUGGGAAACGAUGUGGGAAGGCCCAGACAGCCAGGAUGUUGGCUUAGAAGCAGCCAUCAUUUAAAGAAAGCGUAAUAGCUCACUGGUCGAGUCGGCCUGCGCGGAAGAUGUAACGGGGCUAAACCAUGCACCGAAGCUGCGGCAGCGACGCUUAUGCGUUGUUGGGUAGGGGAGCGUUCUGUAAGCCUGUGAAGGUGUGCUGUGAGGCAUGCUGGAGGUAUCAGAAGUGCGAAUGCUGACAUAAGUAACGAUAAAGCGGGUGAAAAGCCCGCUCGCCGGAAGACCAAGGGUUCCUGUCCAACGUUAAUCGGGGCAGGGUGAGUCGACCCCUAAGGCGAGGCCGAAAGGCGUAGUCGAUGGGAAACAGGUUAAUAUUCCUGUACUUGGUGUUACUGCGAAGGGGGGACGGAGAAGGCUAUGUUGGCCGGGCGACGGUUGUCCCGGUUUAAGCGUGUAGGCUGGUUUUCCAGGCAAAUCCGGAAAAUCAAGGCUGAGGCGUGAUGACGAGGCACUACGGUGCUGAAGCAACAAAUGCCCUGCUUCCAGGAAAAGCCUCUAAGCAUCAGGUAACAUCAAAUCGUACCCCAAACCGACACAGGUGGUCAGGUAGAGAAUACCAAGGCGCUUGAGAGAACUCGGGUGAAGGAACUAGGCAAAAUGGUGCCGUAACUUCGGGAGAAGGCACGCUGAUAUGUAGGUGAAGUCCCUCGCGGAUGGAGCUGAAAUCAGUCGAAGAUACCAGCUGGCUGCAACUGUUUAUUAAAAACACAGCACUGUGCAAACACGAAAGUGGACGUAUACGGUGUGACGCCUGCCCGGUGCCGGAAGGUUAAUUGAUGGGGUCAGCGCAAGCGAAGCUCUUGAUCGAAGCCCCGGUAAACGGCGGCCGUAACUAUAACGGUCCUAAGGUAGCGAAAUUCCUUGUCGGGUAAGUUCCGACCUGCACGAAUGGCGUAAUGAUGGCCAGGCUGUCUCCACCCGAGACUCAGUGAAAUUGAACUCGCUGUGAAGAUGCAGUGUACCCGCGGCAAGACGGAAAGACCCCGUGAACCUUUACUAUAGCUUGACACUGAACAUUGAGCCUUGAUGUGUAGGAUAGGUGGGAGGCUUAGAAGUGUGGACGCCAGUCUGCAUGGAGCCGACCUUGAAAUACCACCCUUUAAUGUUUGAUGUUCUAACGUUGACCCGUAAUCCGGGUUGCGGACAGUGUCUGGUGGGUAGUUUGACUGGGGCGGUCUCCUCCUAAAGAGUAACGGAGGAGCACGAAGGUUGGCUAAUCCUGGUCGGACAUCAGGAGGUUAGUGCAAUGGCAUAAGCCAGCUUGACUGCGAGCGUGACGGCGCGAGCAGGUGCGAAAGCAGGUCAUAGUGAUCCGGUGGUUCUGAAUGGAAGGGCCAUCGCUCAACGGAUAAAAGGUACUCCGGGGAUAACAGGCUGAUACCGCCCAAGAGUUCAUAUCGACGGCGGUGUUUGGCACCUCGAUGUCGGCUCAUCACAUCCUGGGGCUGAAGUAGGUCCCAAGGGUAUGGCUGUUCGCCAUUUAAAGUGGUACGCGAGCUGGGUUUAGAACGUCGUGAGACAGUUCGGUCCCUAUCUGCCGUGGGCGCUGGAGAACUGAGGGGGGCUGCUCCUAGUACGAGAGGACCGGAGUGGACGCAUCACUGGUGUUCGGGUUGUCAUGCCAAUGGCACUGCCCGGUAGCUAAAUGCGGAAGAGAUAAGUGCUGAAAGCAUCUAAGCACGAAACUUGCCCCGAGAUGAGUUCUCCCUGACCCUUUAAGGGUCCUGAAGGAACGUUGAAGACGACGACGUUGAUAGGCCGGGUGUGUAAGCGCAGCGAUGCGUUGAGCUAACCGGUACUAAUGAACCGUGAGGCUUAACCUUACAACGCCGAAGGUGUUU
rnacentral:rRNA from 1 species